rnacentral:tRNA from 1 species
CGCCGGUUGUUGUAAUGGAAGCAAAGAAGUCUUUGAAGCUUAAAGCAUGGGUUCGAUUCCCGUACCGGCUG